UUAAAAAGCUCGUAGUUGGAUUUCUGCGGGAGCGGGGCGGCCUGCCAGCACGUCUGGUGUUGGUCAGCACUUCUCUCGCAUCCUGCCGCGAUCCGCGCUUCCAUUAACUUAGAGGCGCCUGGGGACCGGCUCGUUUACUUUGAGAAAAAUAGAGUGUUCAAAGCAGGCCUCACGCCUUGAAUAAGUUAGCAUGGAAUAAUAUUAAAGGACUUCGGUUCUAUUUUGUUGGUGUUCGGGACUGAAGUAAUGAUUGAUAGGGACAGUUGGGGCGGUCCGUAUUCCAAAGCGAGAGGUGAAAUUCUUAGACCUUCGGAAGACGAACAGCUGCGAAAGCGUUCCGCAAGGAUGUUCCCUUUGAUCAAGAACGAAAGUUGGGGGAUCGAAGACGAUCAGAUACCGUCGUAGUCUCAACUAUAAACUAUACCAGCUAGGGAUCGGCCAACGUUCAAUUAUUCGACUUGGUCGGCACCUUAUGAGAAAUCAAAGCAUCUGGGUUCCGGGGGGAGUAUGGUCGCAAAGGUUGAAACU
rnacentral:rRNA from 1 species